AUUGAACGCUGGCGGCAGGCCUAACACAUGCAAGUCGAGCGAGCGGCGGACGGGUGAGUAAUGUAUGGGGACUGCCCGAUAGAGGGGGAUAACUACUGGAAACGGUGGCUAAUACCGCAUACUAUCGGAUAACCCAUAUGGGAUUAGCUAGUAGGUGGGGUAAAGUCUCACCUAGGCGACGAUCUCUAGCUGGUCUGAGCGGAUGAUCAGCAACAAUGGAGCUAGGACAAAGCCCAGACUCCUACGGAGGCAGAAGUGGGGAAUAUUGCACAAUGGGCGGAAGCCUGAGGCAGCCAGGCCGCGUGUAUGAAGGAGGCCUUAGGGUUGUAAAGUACUUUGAGCGGGGAGGCAGUACCCGCAGAAGAAGCACCGGCUAACUCCGUGCCAGCAGACGGGGUAAUAC
rnacentral:rRNA from 1 species